rnacentral:rRNA from 1 species
CAGACAGCCAGGAUGUUGGCUUAGAAGCAGCCAUCAUUUAAAGAAAGCGUAAUAGCUCACUGGUCGAGUCGUCCUGCGCGGAAGAUGUAACGGGGCUCAAAUCUAUAACCGAAGCUGCGGAUGCUAGUUUACUGGCAUGGUAGGGGAGCGUUCUGUAGGCCGAUGAAGGUGCAUUGUAAAGUGUGCUGGAGGUAUCAGAAGUGCGAAUGUUGACAUGAGUAGCGAUAAAGCGGGUGAAAAGCCCGCUCGCCGAAAGCCCAAGGUUUCCUACGCAACGUUCAUCGGCGUAGGGUGAGUCGGCCCCUAAGGCGAGGCAGAAAUGCGUAGUCGAUGGGAAACAGGUUAAUAUUCCUGUACUUGAUUCAAAUGCGAUGUGGGGACGGAGAAGGUUAGGUUAGCAAGCUGUUGGAAUAGCUUGUUUAAGCCGGUAGGUGGAAGACUUAGGCAAAUCCGGGUCUUCUUAACACCGAGAAGUGACGACGAGUGUCUACGGACAUGAAGUAACCGAUACCACGCUUCCAGGAAAAGCCACUAAGCUUCAGUUUGAAUCGAACCGUACCGCAAACCGACACAGGUGGGCAGGAUGAGAAUUCUAAGGCGCUUGAGAGAACUCGGGAGAAGGAACUCGGCAAAUUGAUACCGUAACUUCGGGAGAAGGUAUGCCCUCUAAGGUUAAGGACUUGCUCCGUAAGCCUCGGAGGGUCGCAGAGAAUAGGUGGCUGCGACUGUUUAUUAAAAACACAGCACUCUGCUAACACGAAAGUGGACGUAUAGGGUGUGACGCCUGCCCGGUGCUGGAAGGUUAAUUGAAGAUGUGAGAGCAUCGGAUCGAAGCCCCAGUAAACGGCGGCCGUAACUAUAACGGUCCUAAGGUAGCGAAAUUCCUUGUCGGGUAAGUUCCGACCCGCACGAAUGGCGUAACGAUGGCCACACUGUCUCCUCCCGAGACUCAGCGAAGUUGAAGUGGUUGUGAAGAUGCAAUCUACCCGCUGCUAGACGGAAAGACCCCGUGAACCUUUACUGUAGCUUUGCAUUGGACUUUGAAGUCACUUGUGUAGGAUAGGUGGGAGGCUUAGAAGCAGAGACGCCAGUCUCUGUGGAGCCGUCCUUGAAAUACCACCCUGGUGUCUUUGAGGUUCUAACCCAGACCCGUAAUCCGGGUCGGGGACCGUGCAUGGUAGGCAGUUUGACUGGGGCGGUCUCCUCCCAAAGAGUAACGGAGGAGUUCGAAGGUUACCUAGGUCCGGUCGGAAAUCGGACUGAUAGUGCAAUGGCAAAAGGUAGCUUAACUGCGAGACCGACAAGUCGAGCAGGUGCGAAAGCAGGACAUAGUGAUCCGGUGGUUCUGUAUGGAAGGGCCAUCGCUCAACGGAUAAAAGGUACUCCGGGGAUAACAGGCUGAUUCCGCCCAAGAGUUCAUAUCGACGGCGGAGUUUGGCACCUCGAUGUCGGCUCAUCACAUCCUGGGGCUG